UCUAUUUUAGCAAAAAAAGUGUAUUAAACUUAGAAUUUAAUUAUGUAAUAAAAUUACAUUUAGAA
rnacentral:tRNA from 1 species